GAUGAACGCUGGCGGCGUGCCUAAUACAUGCAAGUCGAGCGAAGCGGGGAAGGGUGAGUAAAACGUGGAUAACCUCCUAUAAGACUGGGAUAACUUCGGGAAACCGGUGCUAAUCCGGACACUUAUAGAUGGAUCCGUGCUGCAUUAGCUAGUUGGUAAGGUAACGGCCUAACAAGUCAACGAUGCAUAGCCGACCUGAGAGGGUGAGCGGCCACACUGGAACUGAGAAACGGUCCAGACUCCUACGGGAGGCAGCAGUAGGGAAUCUUCCGCAAUGGGCGAAAGCCUGACGGCGCAACGCCGCGUGAAUGAUGAAGGUCUUCGGAUCGUAAAACCCUGUUAUUAGGGAAGCGGUACCUAAUCAGAAAGCCACGGCUAACUACGUGCCAGCAGCCGCGGUAAUUC
rnacentral:rRNA from 1 species